GAUGAACGCUGGCGGCGUGCUUAACACAUGCAAGUCGAACGAAGCAUUUAAGACAGAUUACUUCGGUUUGAAGUCUUUUAUGACUGAGUGGCGGACGGGUGCGUAACGCGUGGGUAACCUGCCUCAUACAGGGGGAUAGCAGCUGGAAACGGCUGGUAAUACCGCAUAAGCGCACAGUACCACAUGGUACAGUGUGAAAAACUCCGGUGGUAUGAGAUGGACCCGCGUCUGAUUAGCUUGUUGGCGGGGUAACGGCCCACCAAGGCGACGAUCAGUAGCCGACCUGAGAGGGUGACCGGCCACAUUGGGACUGAGACACGGCCCAGACUCCUACGGGAGGCAGCAGUGGGGAAUAUUGCACAAUGGAGGAAACUCUGAUGCAGCGACGCCGCGUGAGUGAAGAAGUAGUUCGCUAUGUAAAGCUCUAUCAGCAGGGAAGAUAGUGACGGUACCUGACUAAGAAGCUCCGGCUAAAUACGUG
rnacentral:rRNA from 1 species